AUGAAAUACACAAGAAAUUGCAGGAAAAAAGGGAUGAGAAACAGAUCAAAAUCCGAGAAUAUUGUCGGAAAACCCCCACUGAAAAAUGUCACAACGUUAUCACCGAGCCAUCACACCCAGAUCUACAUCUCCCUAACCUCGAACAUCCACCGUCUUCAAUCGAGUUGCGGCUUCAACCGCCACCUGUGUUAUUACCGCUCCCACAAGCGAAUGACCUUCACGAUGCAAGGAGAAAUAGGAUCCGCUAGAAAGCUUUGUUUUGUCAAAAGAAAAAGGAGAAGUUUUGAGAGAAAAGGAAAGUAG